rnacentral:rRNA from 1 species
GUCGAGAAUCUUUCACAAUGGGGGCAACCCUGAUGGAGCGACGCCGCGUGGAGGAUAAGGUCUUCGGAUUGUAAACUCCUGUCAUGCGUGAACAAGGUUGCUUGGUUAAUACCUGGGCAAAUUGAUGGUAACGCAAGAGGAAGAGACGGCUAACUCUGUGCCAGCAGCCGCGGUAAUACAGAGGUCUCAAGCGUUGUUCGGAAUCACUGGGCGUAAAGGGUGCGUAGGUGGCGUGGUAAGUCAGAUGUGAAAGCCCGGGGCUCAACCUCGGAACUGCAUCCGAUACUGCCAUGCUAGAGUACUGGAGAGGUGACUAGAAUUCUCGGUGUAGCAGUGAAAUGCGUAGAUAUCGAGAGGAAUACCAAAGGCGUAGGCAGGUCACUGGACAGUUACUGACACUGAGGCACGAAGGCCAGGGGAGCGAACGGGAUUAGAUACCCGAGUAGUCC